rnacentral:rRNA from 1 species
GACGAACGCUGGCGGCGUGCCUAAUACAUGCAAGUAGAACGCUGAAGAGAGGAGCUUGCUCUUCUUGGAUGAGUUGCGAACGGGUGAGUAACGCGUAGGUAACCUGCCUGGUAGCGGGGGAUAACUAUUGGAAACGAUAGCUAAUACCGCAUAACAACAGUUGUUGCAUGACAGCUGUUUAAAAGAUGCAAUUGCAUCACUACCAGAUGGACCUGCGUUGUAUUAGCUAGUUGGUGAGGUAACGGCUCACCAAGGCGACGAUACAUAGCCGACCUGAGAGGGUGAUCGGCCACACUGAGACUGAGACACGGCCCAGACGCCUACGGGAGGCAGCAGUAGUGAAUCUUCGGCAAUGGGGGGAACCCUGACCGAGCAACGCCGCGUGAGUGAAGAAGGUUUUCGGAUCGUAAAGCUCUGUUGUAAGAGAAGAACGGGUGUGAGAGUGGAAAGUUCACACUGUGACGGUAUCUUACCAGAAAGGGACGGCUAACUACGUG